UGGGAUUAAAGGUGUGUACUAAGUAAAGG
rnacentral:piRNA from 1 species